CAUAAUGGCGGCAGGUGUGCCAGGAGAAACAGGGGACCAUAAGAACAAAUAUGUCAAGGACCAAAACUAGUCUGGGAAUGUUAAAAAAAAAAAAAAAAAAGUUUUCUUGGGAAGUGACAUCUAAGCUGAAAUUAAAACCAUGAGUAUGAGUUGGCCAGAUGAAGAAAUGGAUUAAUAUCCACUUUCUAGGUAGAGGAAAUGAUGUGCAAAGGCCCUGAGUGCCAGCACACUUGGACUCUUCCCAGAGAGACUUGAGGAAAGAGGAAGGAAGAACUUGCUGUUGGCGAGAAAGGAGCAAGGCGGCCGGAAGAGACCCAGCUGGUUGGGGAUUCUUGCCGGAGGCCGGCACAGACAAGAUGGGGCUGGCUGGUGUGUCUCUGAGGUCCUGUCUGCAAUGGGAGACAUGACACCCACCUCUAGGGAACUGACCAGAAGGACCUGCGUUAACUCCCAGCCAAGGAUUUGGGCUUCGUCAGGACUGCAGCCGUGGGCCCGCAAAGGGUGGGGGCCAGACACAUGGUAUCUGUUGUAGGCUGUGCCGGAAUUUGUCACCAAAUCAACACCUGGCAAAACUAGGAUGCCUUCAUGCGUUUCACAUUUAAUAAAUAUAAAGAAAG
rnacentral:lncRNA from 1 species